ACUCAAAUGAAUUGACGGGGACCCGCACAAGCAGCGGAGUGUGUGGUUUAAUUCGAUGCAACGCGAAGAACCUUACCAGGGUUUGACAUGCUCUCGCACCGUCUGGAGACAGGCGUGCCCGCAAGGGACGGGAGCACAGGUGCUGCAUGGCUGUCGUCAGCUCGUGCCGUGAGGUGUUGGGUUAAGUCCCCUAACGAGCGCAACCCCUGUCGCUGGUUGUACUUUUCCAGCGAGACUGCCGCGCGCAACGCGGAGGAAGGUGGGGAUGAUGUCAAGUCAGCACGGCCCUGACGUCCUGGGCGACACACACACUACAAUGGCUGGUACAACGGGCUGCGAAGCGGCAACGCGGAGCCAAUCCCAGCAAAGCCAGCCCCAGUUCAGAUUGUCGGCUGCAACCCGCCGGCAUGAAGGAGGAGUUGCUAGUAAUCACCGGUCAGCAUACGGUGGUGAAUACGUUCCCGGGUCUUGUACACACCGCCCGU
rnacentral:rRNA from 1 species